rnacentral:rRNA from 1 species
GACAGAGGGCGCGAGCGUUGUUCGGAAUUACUGGGCGUAAAGCGCGCGCAGGCGGAUCUGCAAGUCUGGAGUGAAAUCCCGCCGCUCAACGGCGGGGCUGCUUUGGAAACUGCAGGUCUAGGGAGCGGUAGAGGCCAGUAGAAUUCCCGGUGUAGCGGUGGAAUGCGUAGAGAUCGGGAAGAAUACCCGUGGCGAAGGCGGCCGGCUGGGCCGGAUCCGACGCUGAGGCGCGAAAGCGUGGGGAGCAAACAGG